rnacentral:rRNA from 1 species
AGCGGACGCUGGCGGCAGGCCUAACACAUGCAAGUCGAACGGACCCUUCGGGGUUAGUGGCGGACGGGUGAGUAACACGUGGGAACGUGCCCUUUGGUUCGGAACAACUCAGGGAAACUUGAGCUAAUACCGAAUGUGCCCUUCGGGGGAAGGAUUUAUCGCCAUUGGAGCGGCCCGCGUCUGAUUAGCUAGUUGGUGGGGUAAUGGCCCACGAAGGCGACGAUCAGUAGCUGGUCUGAGAGGAUGAUCAGCCACAUUGGGACUGAGACACGGCCCAAACUCCUACGGGAGGCAGCAGUGGGGAAUCUUGCGCAAUGGGCGAAAGCCUGACGCAGCCAUGCCGCGUGAAUGAUGAAGGUCUUAGGAUUGUAAAAUUCUUUCACCGGGGACGAUAAUGACGGUACCCGGAGAAGAAGCCCCGGCUAACUUCGUGCCAGCAGCCGCCGUAACAC